CUGGAAAGGGAGAGAGAGCUGAGGAAAAGAGAGUCAGCAGCAGAGUUACAGAGUUCUGAGGGUAAGAACUGAUUCCAGACUCCCCAAACUCCCUUAAGACCCCUCUUGGAGAAGAGGGACAUGGACUCCUAUUGUGGAGAGCAGUUUUGGACAUGCAGCACCAGACAGAGAGGAGCUGAGAAGCUCAGAGCGUCCUGGGAAGCUGGACUGGGACGGAGAGGAAUGCAGAGGGGGGCGACCUUGGUUCUUCCCCCCCUUGCACUGCUGCCAAGGUGGCAGCCAUCUUGAAGCAGGGCACAGAGGCCCUGCAAGGAGCUUGAAUCUCCUGGAGAUACCAGACCGUCACGAAGACCCCCUGUGUCUCGUGAUAUGACUGUGGUGGAACGACCUUGUCUGGGGUGACGUAGCCCACGGAGGAAGACCCCUCGCUUGGUGGCGACGGGGCCGAGGGAGCUUGGAUACCUCCCUCGUGAGUGCUGGCAGAAUCCAGCUAUCAGCUGC